GACGAACGCUGGCGGCGUGCUUAACACAUGCGAGUCGAACGGGAUCCAAAGGCUUUUUGUUUUUGGUGAGAGUGGCGAACGGGUGAGUAACACGUGAGUAACCUGCCCCCUUCUUUUGGAUAACCGCAUGAAAGUGUGGCUAAUACAGGAUAUUCCAGGCUGGUCGCAUGAUUGGUUUGGGAAAUGGUUUGGUCUGGUGGGGGAUGGGCUCGCGGCCUAUCAGCUUGUUGGUGGGGUGAUGGCCUACCAAGGCGGUGACGGGUAGCCGGCCUGAGAGGGUGGGCGGUCACACUGGGACUGAGAUACGGCCCAGACUCCUGCGGGAGGCCGCAGUGGGGGAUUUUGCACAAUGGGCGCAAGCCUGAUGCAGCGACGCCGCGUGAGGGAUGAAGGCCUUCGGGUUGUAAACCUCUUUCGCUGGGUUGAAAGGCCAUGCUUUGGGUGUGGUUGAUUUGAACUGGUAAAGAAGUACCGGCUAACUACGUG
rnacentral:rRNA from 1 species